rnacentral:rRNA from 1 species
AAUAUUGGACAAUGGGGGCAACCCUGAUCCAGCCAUGCCGCGUGUGUGAAGAAGGUCUUCGGAUUGUAAAGCACUUUAAGUUGGGAGGUAGGGCUUUAGGUUAAUACCCUGAAGUUUUGACGUUACCAACAGAAGAAGCACCGGCUAACGCAGUGCCAGCAGCCGCGGUAAUACAGAGGGUGCAAGCGUUAAUCGGAAUGACUGGGCGUAAAGCGUGCGCAGGCGGUUCGGCAAGAAGGAUGUGAAAUCCCAGGGCUUAACCUUGGAACUGCAUUCAUAACUGCUGAGCUAGAGUACGGUAGAGGAUAGUGGAAUUUCCUGUGUAGCGGUGAAAUGCGUAGAUAUAGGAAGGAACACCAGUGGCGAAGGCGACUACCUGGACUGAUACUGACACUGAGGUGCGAAAGCGUGGGGAGCAAACA